rnacentral:misc_RNA from 1 species
AAUCAUCAACCACACCUGCCUUUUGUGUUGUGUGUCGGCUUGGUUUUGAGGGUUUUUGCGGGCUCCUUAGCAGAGCCGGCUCCCUUUAAAUGUAUUAGCGAGGACUCCGUCCGCUGACCGUCUCUGGCGUGAUAAUUAUCUAGUCAAAGGCGAGAAUGUGAUGGCUUGCUUCUAAUCGUCUCGAGAGAGACCGCGGAGUGACUUUAACCGGUCAGCUUCAUCUUGA